rnacentral:lncRNA from 1 species
GAAUAUACGAGUAACUUCUAUUACUAACAGCUUAAUUGCUUGAAUAACAAACUAACAGCUAAUAGGCUAGCUCAAUAACAAAGUUAGCUAGCACAGUUCUUAUCUAUACUCUUAACUCUUAACAAAGUUAGCAACACAAGGAAGGCAUGCACAAUAAGUAGAGGUACCCCAUAAGUGCAUAAAAGCCAAGCCAGCCCUUUUGUUGCAGUAAUCUUAUAAAGUACAUAAAUUACCGUAAAUAUACUAGCAUCGGAGAUGUAAACUUGUAGCCUCUCGCAAUCAGAGAAAAUGGGGCCAUUAUAGUGGGAAGCUAAUUGAUCAUAGUAUCGACCUGAAACGUUGAAGGCUAAGUACAUAGGCCAACCAAGAGUCAAUGUGACUACAAGAGAUAGAACUCGACCGGGUGGAUUGUUUAAGUAUUUCGCAAAGCAUGAUAAUUUAGACUUGGGUUUGGGCACGAAUACUUUGUCACGCUCCAUAGAACCGGUGUUUGAGUGGUAACGGCGGUGACUGAUUUUCCACGAGAAGUACGGGACUAAAAGGGUGGAGUGAAGGAUCAACCCGACGGUGUUGUCAACCCAUUGGUAGUCACUGAAAGCGUGGUGACCGCACUCGUGUGCGAUGACCCAAACACCGGUGAGGAUGCAACCUUGGAGAACCCAAUAGACAGGCCAAGCAAUGUAGGAAAAGGGAUGUGGGAGAAAGUGAAUAUGAUGUUGCAAUGUAGUAAAAGAGAGAGGCUAAGCAUAGGUCAUGGACCACGUAGGAGAAGGAUCGAAGGAGGGAGCGACGAAAACAGUGGGGCAGAAUGUCUUGCUUGAUCUGACUGAGCGUAAACGGAGGCUUCUUGAUCGAAACUCGAUUGACCCAACCUCGGUUUUCCUUAUUCUUUUUACCGUGAACUACCAUCCUACCACCGACACCCAUUUUGUUGGGUGGACAUGCCAGAAUCAAAAUUAAUUAUAAUAAAAUAAUGAAACAUUUAUUAGAUAUAAACAAUAAAUUUGAAGCAAUUUUCAGACUUAAUUUCUGAAAAAUGUCAUUUUUUAAAAAAUUAUUAGAUUAAGUUAUUUUUUUGAAAAAUUACAGAAUUAGGCAAAAAAAUGAAAACACUUCUAAUUAUAAGCGUUUUUAACGGAUUUGCAAGAAAACAUUUCCAGCUGAAAGCGUUUUCAAUGGAUUGACAAAAAAAAUGAUUCCAACUGAAAGCGUUUUCUGCCCCCAAUAUCUUUUUUUUGUGUCAUUUCUUGUGAAAAUAAAAUUACAAAAUAAAUCUUUUUUUAGACUUCAAAUCUUAUAUCCCUUAUUUUCUUAAGCGAUGAAAGAUAUAGAUCUAUAUAAACUCAUGAUUCAUUUGCAGUUUGUUACUAAACAAUGUAAGAUUGCUUACUCUUUUAACUAACAACAUAAUAUUAAAGGUUACAUUUAAUUUUUUUAAAUUAAAGACAAAACUUUUUACAACACUAAACUCUAACAAAAUAUAUUUGGUUGUACACAAUUUUGUCUUUAACUUUUAAGAAUUAAAUGUAACCUUUAAUCUUAUGUUGUUAGUUAAAAAAAAGUAAGAAAUCUCUUAUUGUUUAGGAAAAUUUGUAAAUAGAUUAUGAGUUUAUAUAAAUGCAUAUCUCACAUCGCUUAAUAAAACUAAAGAAAUGAGACUUGGGUCUAUAUAAAUACAUGCUUUGUAAGUUUUGUUUUCAUAAGAGGUGACAUUAAAAAAUAAUAAUAAAUAAAUAAAAUAUUGGGAGGCAGAAAGUGUUCUAGCCGGAAGCGUUUUUCUACAAAUCUUUGGAAGCGUUUUUGUUAUUUCGGCCUAAAUCCGUAAUUUUGUGAAAAAAAAAGACUUAAUCUGAUAUAUUUUUUAAAAAUUUUGAUAUUUUUAAGUAAUUCAGUCGCUUCUUUCUUCAGGCUUAAGAAAACAUUAUAAGUAAACAAAUAAAUUUUGAUCUAUGAAAAAGGAAAGGCCUUAAAAAGCUUUCUGCAUGGCAAAAUAAUUCUUCUUCUUCUUCUAUUUUCAAAAGCUCGGUUACUAAGAAGAUAUACCAGUCAUCAUUUACUCAAAUUUAUCGCUUCAAUGCAAAAUUAACAAAAAAAAACAUGAAAUGGGAAAAAAUUGAAGGAAAUUAAAGAGAAAAGUACCUUUAAAGAAAGCAAUUUAACGCCUGGUGAUUAAAGAAGGCGUGUUGGUUUUGGGCGAGUGGAGUGGAGCGAAGGGGGGUUUUGAAAUAGAGGAGUGGUGGAUUUGAGGUUUUUUGGUAAGAUGCUACGUGUUGGGAAGCAAGACCAGAAUCAGUGGGGAUGGGGGUCUUUUCCCUUUUUUUUUUAUUCUGAUGAUUCUUGCUUUCAUAUCAUCAUCAACCCACCUCAUCUCUCUUUUCUUCUUGGUAUCUCCCAAACACCUGUUACAAUCAUAAGGACUUCAUAGAGGAAUGAAAGGUGUUGAUGAGGACUAAAUGUAACACUCAUCACUUGACCCGAUCGUCGAGUUUGAGCUACGAGAUGAUAUAACCGUUCCUAGAGUAAAUACGGACAAUUAACAUUUAAAUUAAAUAUAAACCAUAUAAUCAUAAUCAAUUCUGUUUAUAAUCACUAACUACGACCUUUCACAGGUUUUAUAUAAGUCUACGUAUCCUCUAGAAUCAACUCAGAAUUGAAUAAAGACUAUUUUACAACAUUUUCAAAUUUUUAAGUCAAGCAUUACCUAAUUCAUAUUCUACUUGUUACAUACCAAAUAUUUUAUGCCACUCAACAUUUGCCACAAACAUCACACAUAUCAUAUGAAUUAGAAUGUGACCAUUUUCUGAUUUGUGUGUGUCAUCCUUGUGCAAAGGCCAUGCUAACAUCCUCUAUAUCGUUCCAAUGUUAUCGAAUGUUAAAAAAAAAAUUUAAGUUGAAGUUUAGUUUGACUUGACCAGUUUAAAAAUUAAAAAAAUUAUUUUUAUUUAAAUUUAGAUACAAAUAUAUAUUAAAAGGAUUGUUUUUAUAUUUUUUAGUCAUUUAAUAGUAAAUCGGUCUGAUCAGACCAGCGUAAAGUUGAAAAUACUAAAUUGCUCAAAAAUAGACUGAGUUGAGUUGGUUUAAUCAAGCAAUUCGAUUCAUCUUGAGUCGAGUUUUAGUUUAUAAUUUUUUAAUUUUGAAACAACUGAGUUCAAUAAAUGAUGAUGAAACAAACCUUUGGGCGAUCCAAAGUGAGUGAACCAACACCAAAUAAAUUUAAGUUUAAUUAUGAUUAUAAUCCAUGUACUCUUUGUGCAUCUAAAAUUUAAUCUUUGAUCUAUUUUAGUAGCGUCCAUAAAACAUUAUAGCACUUGCACAUUUUUUUUUCUACCAUAUAGUUUAUUAAUAUAACACUUAAUACAUAAAACUACUAGGCAGCUAUUCCACAUUUUCCUACCAUUAUUAACUUCCCUAGUUAACACUAGUCUAAUAAGUACGUUUUACGUCGAUUUUGCCGGCCAGCUAUCAGGCAGUUGGUCUGUCUUUAGAACUUGUUACGAUACCAAAAAACACCUUUGCUACCACCACCACCAACGUCAGCCUCGACGUAAAGGCACUCUUUUGCCUCCCUCCACAUUGCCUUAUAAAUCGGUGUCCCGUCGAAAGGAUAAUACUUGCCGAGUAUCGGUUUGAUUGCUUUAGUGGCCUCCAUUGCAUGAUAAUGUGGCAUCGUUGAGAAGAGGUGAUGAGCCACAUGCGUAUCGGUGAUGUUAUGGAACACUUUGUUCAACACCCCGUAAUCUCGAUCAAUCGUCGACAAUGCUCCUCGAAACCAAUCCCAUUCAGACGAGUCGUAAUGCGGCAAUGCCGAGUGAGUAUGUUGCAAGUAGGUGAUCAACACAAGGAAGGCAUUCACAAUAAGUAGAGGUACCCCAUAAGUGCAUAAAAGCCAAGCCAGCCCUUUUGUUGCAGCAAUCUUAUAAAGUACAUAAAUUACCGCAACUAUACCAGCAUCGGAGAUGUAAAC